rnacentral:lncRNA from 1 species
CCCAUCUCCCAAGGCCUCACUAAUAUUUGAGAUGGGUUCCCCCAUUGCACACUAAAUAAGCUAUGUUAAUAUCUCUACUAUCUUAAAUUAUAAGUUUCAUCUCUCAAGUUAGUCAUCUGUGGGUCUUAUCAUAAAUACAUUCUUUUUACCAUAUAGCUGUCUCGACACAAUCAAAUUGAACUCGAGAUCACGUAGCCACUAGCGAAACAUGAAUAGAAUAGUGAAGCCUUUCAAUAUAUUGUAUGAACAUAGCAGAAAUCAUGAUUUAAGUCCAUCAAUGUUUGAAUUAGGUUAAAUAGACAAACACUAUAAUAGGGUGUCUGAGAGGCAAACUAGCUCUGUAGUUAGGGAACAGGAUGCUCUAUAAAAAAGUACACCGUACUCAAUUAUGUCUCCUCGACUAUGUGCUAUAUGAAGAUAGAUACUAAGACCAAGACAUGUGGCCAGAUGCAUGAAUGCAACUAGCCGUACAUAUACUGUACAAACACAUGGUAUCAACACAACAUUAUGGAACGGCUUUCUCUUUUUAAAUUUUUUUCUUACCUUCAGAGAUCAAAGCCACAAUCAGAUGCUGAUUUCAGUGAAACUCUUGCAUCAUGUUACUUAGGCUAAUUUCAGGGUUUCCUGGCAACUUUUCAUGGACUGGUAGCAUAGCUAUUAGCUAAUGACAAUUAAUUACAAUCGGCGGUCGCUUAACAUGCCAUGCAAACAAAAUGAAGACCGUACGAAGGAUAGAUUUAUUGGUGGCAUAGCUAAUGAUAAAUAAAUUAAACUAGCCCUUGCUUCGAAUAGAAAGUUUCUACAGGCAUUGCAUUUUAGUUACUUAUAUAUAUAUACACACCAAAGUCAUAUAGAAUCUGAGCAAUUCCAAUAACUCGGUUACAAAUCCUGCCCUAACUCAUUUUUCAGCUGGUUUUUCUCUUAUCCUA